CACACGACUCUCGGCAACGGAUAUCUCGGCUCUCGCAUCGAUGAAGAACGUAGCGAAAUGCGAUACCUGGUGUGAAUUGCAGAAUCCCGCGAACCAUCGAGUCUUUGAACGCAAGUUGCGCCCGAGGCCAUCCGGCCGAGGGCACGCCUGCCUGGGCGUCACGCC
rnacentral:rRNA from 1 species